AUGGCCGUAAGUGUUGAAGAAGACAAGGAGGUUCUUUGUGAUACUGAUACUUUCUACAAUACUGCAGUGGAGGAAACGCCAGUGGACUGGCUCAUCAGAAAAUUGAAGGCAGAGGAGGAUAGAAGGCAGGACGCACAAGGCCUGGCAUGGAGCUCGAGGGGGGAGACAGAUGGGGGGCAGCAAAUGGUGAGAGCUGGAGCGCAGGGGGUCUCCAGGUGGAGGUGGUGGGGGCUGGGUGGAGGUGGGGAAGGCAUCUUCCAGGAGGAGAAGCAGCACUGAAUCCAGACCUGAAGGCCCAGUAAUGUGAACUAGAGAAAGCCACUGGGUUGAAAUCAAAAUGCGUAGACUUUUGUCUCCAUUCAUUUGGUUCUUGACCACUGUUUCUAGCCAUUGUCGUAAUAUACUAACAACAUCUAAUCUUGGGGAAAGCAUUUUUCUUUUUUUUCUUCCUAAGUAAAUUUAUUGACAAUAUGUACCAUAUUUUGUGAUUAUUAAGCUUUGGCAUGGAAAAUGAAGCUUUCUACUGCCAAGGAACUAGGGGGAGCUUUUUUACAUAUAAUUGUUUUACAUAAACAAUUAUUUAAAUGAUAAUUUAUGAGAUUUUAAAUGUGCAUGGCAUUCUCAACACCUACUGGAUAUUAAGUUAAUGUAAUAUUUUUAACAAUCAUCUAAGUUUUGCAUUGAUAAUAGAUGAAGAGUAGAUCUUGAACUUGAUUUUUUAAUUGGAAACUAUAUUUCUUUUUUUAACGUUUGUUUAACAUUUUUU
rnacentral:lncRNA from 9 species